rnacentral:tRNA from 1 species
GCGGCGGUGGCGCAACGGCGACGCAGCAGGUUUAGGUCCUGUGGCCCGACAGGGCUUGAGGGUUCGAAUCCCUUCCGCCGCA